rnacentral:rRNA from 1 species
AUUGAACGCUGGCGGCAUGCUUUACACAUGCAAGUCGAACGGUAACAGGGUGCUUGCACCGCUGACGAGUGGCGAACGGGUGAGCAAUGCGUCGGAACGCGCCGAGUAGUGGGGGAUAACGCAGCGAAAGUUGUGCUAAUACCGCAUACGUACUGAGGUAGAAAGUGGGGGACCUCCUGGCCUCACGCUAUUCGAGCGGCCGACGUCUGAUUAGCUAGUAGGUGAGGUAAAGGCUCACCUAGGCGACGAUCAGUAGCGGGUCUGAGAGGAUGAUCCGCCACACUGGGACUGAGACACGGCCCAGACUCCUACGGGAGGCAGCAGUGGGGAAUUUUGGACAAUGGGCGAAAACCUGAUCCAGCCAUGCCGCGUGUCUGAAGAAGGCCUUCGGGUUGUAAAGGACUUUUGUCAGGGAGGAAAUCCCUAGCGUUAAUACCGCUGGGGGAUGACAGUACCUGAAGAAUAAGCACCGGCUAACUACGUGCCAGCCGCCGCCGUAAAAC